GGUGGCAACAGGCAGGCUUCGGCUCAUUAUUUUGUGGAUGAUGUGAGGAUUGUGGAGACUGUUGAGACUGCUAAUGCUUCUUGGCACUG
rnacentral:tRNA from 1 species